AAGCAGGGUCCAUAAGUCCACCUUCACACCCUUUAUUAGAUGUGUCACAGUUGACAAGUUCUUGAGUUGAAAGGCUAAUAAGUUCACCAGUGACCAAUGCAUUUAUUCCUUCAAUGGCUCCACAUGCGGAAAAUGCCCAACAACAUCCACAUGCUCCUUGAUUCUUAACCUCAGUGACAACCCCAUGUUUCCUCCAAUCCUUAGCAGGAGGAGCAUCACAUGAAUUCGCAGAAAUAGUGGUCUUGUUCUGCUGUUUAAAAGGCAUCUUAAUCUUUGAAGUAUGAACUUGACUGAACUCUUCAUUGCUCAUAUCAGCA
rnacentral:misc_RNA from 1 species